rnacentral:misc_RNA from 1 species
GCAUUUUAGGGUUCGUACAUGCCUUUCGGUUGUUUGCUUUGGCUUUAUAGCCUUGCAAGUGGCUGUUUGGCAUCGCGGCUUUGGGGAUGUCUACCGUAAAGGUGCAUGAGUGGUGUUUGGUUUGAUACAGGUGGUCGGCUCCCUGCUUGAGCAGGCACGGCCACGUGUUCAUUCCUUUUCAGCUAUGCGGCAAGGCUUGUAUCGUCUUGAUCGUAUAAGUGGGUUUCCUGUGUUGCAUACCUGAUCAAUGGCAUCGUUCUGAUCAAAAGCGUACCGUUUUCGUCUAGCGUUGCACUCGCAUCGUUGGAUGAACAAGGAAGCAUCUUCUUUGAUCCAAUCAUAAGACGUGCAAGCGUUGAUUGUUUGGCUCAUUGAAUGGUGACUCGGUUUCUCGAAUAUGGAAGCCAAAGUAGGCAUGGGCUCGCAAGAUCCUUUAUUGCCUUCAUUGAGCGUUCUCGCUUCUCUUACACGACCGCCUUUCACGUAUGGCACGUCCCAGCGUGUUUGGCUACGUCGAAGAGGAAUGCUACCUGGUUGAU